CCGCCGAAGAAGACGCUGGAGGUUGAAGAGUACCGAGAUCGUCGCCACGGAUAUUCAGGUAUAUAUUUUUUUUAUUUAGUGUCUAACCAUAGUUUUUUUUUACGUACCUAGGAGGGCCUCGCCAGAGGGGUACGUACCUAAGAGGACCGUUGGACGCCGUGGAUCGUCGUUCGAGGAAAGAGGGUCGUCGCCCAGCCCCGAGAUUCACGCCCAUUAGGACGAUGGAAAUAAAGAUGAAUCUUGAAGACUUGCAAUGAAGGCUAAGAUAUGGCAAAAUCAAACACAACGCACGAAUGUCGCAUCGUUAAAAUCGAACAGGAUUAGAGUUCAACAUGGCGACGAGAACACACCAACUUGUAAAGCCAAGACCAGAAGGAAAUUUCAACAAAAUCCUAGAAAUUUCCCUCUUGUUUGAAAAAUAGACUAGACCGGAAUCUGCCACCAUUUGAAGGUGUCUUGAAAGAAUUGUGUAUUUUCUAUGCUUUAAGUAUGAUGAGGAGGCACCUGCCAAGGAAAUAAAGAACAAAGUGAUUAACACGUUCAAUGUUGUAACUUCACAGAAGGUG